rnacentral:rRNA from 1 species
UACGUAGGGUGCGAGCGUUGUCCGGAAUUAUUGGGCGUAAAGGGCUCGUAGGCGGUUUGUCGCGUCGGGAGUGAAAUCCACUGGCUUAACUGGUGGCUUGCUUUCGAUACGGGCAGACUGGAGGUAUGCAGGGGAGAACGGAAUUCCUGGUGUAGCGGUGAAAUGCGCAGAUAUCAGGAGGAACACCGGUGGCGAAGGCGGAUCUCUGGGCCUUACCUGACGCUCAGGUGCGAAAGCUAGGGGAGCGAACAGG